rnacentral:rRNA from 1 species
CGGGAAUAUUGGACAAUGGGGGCAACCCUGAUCCAGCAAUACCGCGUGUGUGAAGAAGGCCUGCGGGUUGUAAAGCACUUUCAGUUGGGAAGAUAAUGACGUUACCAACAGAAGAAGCACCGGCUAACUCCGUGCCAGCAGCCGCGGUAAUACGGAGGGUGCAAGCGUUAAUCGGAAUUACUGGGCGUAAAGCGUGCGUAGGCGGCCUGUUAAGUCAGAUGUGAAAGCCCCGGGCUUAACCUGGGAACUGCAUCGGAUACUGGGAGGCUAGAAUGUGGGAGAGGAGAGUGGAAUUUCCGGUGUAGCGGUGAAAUGCAUAGAGAUCGGAAGGAACACCAGUGGCGAAGGCGGCUCUCUGGACCAACAGUAACGCUGAGGCACGAAAGCGUGGGUAGCAAAC